rnacentral:rRNA from 1 species
CAAAUGGUAUGCAAGGUACAAAGACUUGUUGAGUUUUAUCCCAAAGAUUUUUCAAGUGAUGACUUGAUACACCUUAAACUACAAGUUCAUAACUAUAUAGAUGACAUGAAAAAAGAUGACAACUUCCGAGGCCUUGGAAAUCCUGUUGAUCUCUCGGUUAAGCUUGGUCAAAUAGGGAGACAUAUAGUUCAUCAUUUGGUGUACUUGCUUCUAAAAUUGGUAUUUAUUCUACCGGUGGCAACAACAAAUGUUGUGAGCGCAUUUUUUGCCAUGAGCAUAGUCAAGAGCAAGUUGAGAAAUAAGAUGGGCGAUAGUCUUUUGGAUGAUUGUCUAGUC